AACGCUAGCUACAGGCUUAACACAUGCAAGUCGAGGGGCAGCAUUGGAGUAGCAAUACUUCAGAUGGCGACCGGCGCACGGGUGAGUAACACGUAUCCAACCUGCCGCUUACUCGGGGAUAGCCUUUCGAAAGAAAGAUUAAUACCCGAUGGUAUAAAGAGUUCGCAUGUUCUCUUUAUUAAAGAAUUUUGGUAAGCGAUGGGGAUGCGUUCCAUUAGAUAGUUGGCGGGGUAACGGCCCACCAAGUCUACGAUGGAUAGGGGUUCUGAGAGGAAGGUCCCCCACAUUGGAACUGAGACACGGACCAGACUCCUACGGGAGGCAGCAGUGAGGAAUAUUGGUCAAUGGGCGAGAGCCUGAACCAGCCAAGUCGCGUGAAGGAAGAAGGAUCUAUGGUUCGUAAACUUCUUUUGCAGGGGAAUAAAGUGCAGGACGUGUCCUGUUUUGUAUGUACCCUGAGAAUAAGGAUCGGCUAACUCCGUGCCAGCAGCCGCGGUAAUACGGAGGAUCCGAGCGUUAUCCGGAUUUAUUGGGUUUAAAGGGUGCGCAGACGGGUCGUUAAGUCAGCUGUGAAAGUUUGGGGCUCAACCUUAAAAUUGCAGUUGAUACUGGCGUCCUUGAGUGCGGUUGAGGUGUGCGGAAUUCGUGGUGUAGCGGUGAAAUGCUUAGAUAUCACGAAGAACUCCGAUUG
rnacentral:rRNA from 1 species